rnacentral:rRNA from 1 species
UGUUUCGACACACUAUCAUUAACUGAAUCCAUAGGUUAAUGAGGCGAACCGGGGGAACUGAAACAUCUAAGUACCCCGAGGAAAAGAAAUCAACCGAGAUUCCCCCAGUAGCGGCGAGCGAACGGGGAGCAGCCCAGAGCCUGAAUCAGUAUGUGUGUUAGUGGAAGCGUCUGGAAAGGCGCGCGAUACAGGGUGACAGCCCCGUACACAAAAAUGCACAUGCUGUGAGCUCGAUGAGUAGGGCGGGACACGUGGUAUCCUGUCUGAAUAUGGGGGGACCAUCCUCCAAGGCUAAAUACUCCUGACUGACCGAUAGUGAACCAGUACCGUGAGGGAAAGGCGAAAAGAACCCCGGCGAGGGGAGUGAAAAAGAACCUGAAACCGUGUACGUACAAGCAGUGGGAGCACGCUUAGGCGUGUGACUGCGUACCUUUUGUAUAAUGGGUCAGCGACUUAUAUUCUGUAGCAAGGUUAACCGAAUAGGGGAGCCGAAGGGAAACCGAGUCUUAACUGGGCGUUAAGUUGCAGGGUAUAGACCCGAAACCCGGUGAUCUAGCCAUGGGCAGGUUGAAGGUUGGGUAACACUAACUGGAGGACCGAACCGACUAAUGUUGAAAAAUUAGCGGAUGACUUGUGGCUGGGGGUGAAAGGCCAAUCAAACCGGGAGAUAGCUGGUUCUCCCCGAAAGCUAUUUAGGUAGCGCCUCGUGAAUUCAUCUCCGGGGGUAG